rnacentral:rRNA from 1 species
UACGUAGGUGGCAAGCGUUGUCCGGAAUUAUUGGGCGUAAAGCGCGCGCAGGCGGUCUUUUAAGUCUGAUGUGAAAGCCCCCGGCUCAACCGGGGAGGGUCAUUGGAAACUGGGAGACUUGAGUGCAGAAGAGGAGAGUGGAAUUCCAUGUGUAGCGGUGAAAUGCGUAGAGAUAUGGAGGAACACCAGUGGCGAAGGCGACUCUCUGGUCUGCAACUGACGCUGAGGCGCGAAAGCGUGGGGAGCAAACAGG